rnacentral:rRNA from 1 species
CAGUAGCGGCGAGCGAAGCGGCAACAGCCCAGAUUUGAAAUCUGUCCCUUUAGGGUCCGACUUGUAAUCUGCAGAUGGAUCUUCUCGGGGGUAUGCGUGCUGCCCAAGUGUACCUGGAACGGUUCGCCGUAGAGGGUGAGAGCCCCGUACGGCAGCCGCGUACCUCCCCAACGAAGCCCAUUCGGAGAGUCGAGCAGUUUGGGAAUGCUGCUCUAACGGGAGGUAAAUCCCUUCCAAGGCUAAAUACCCGCCGGAGACCGAUAGCGCAGAAGUAGCGCGAGCGAAAGGUGAAUAGAACUCUGAAAAGAGAGUUAAAGCAUGUGAAAUCGUUAAAGGGGAAGCGGUUUCGACCAGACUCGCGCCGGUCGGUCACCUAGCGGUCACGCUGGGGCACUCUGCCGGCGCGGGCCAGCAUCGACUUGCUGCGGGGGUAAAGGCCCGGGGAACGUGGCUCUUCGGAGUGUUAUAGCCCCGGGCGUAAUGCCUCGUGGCGGGUCGAGGAUCCGGCGCCUUCGGGCAUGGAUGCUGGCGUAAUGGUCGGCACCGACCCGUCUUGAAACACGGACCAAGGAGUUGACUCUGCGUGCGAGUGUACGGGUGUAAAGCCCUGACGCGCAAUGAAAGUGAACGUAGGUGGGAGCCUUCGGGUGCACCACCGACCGAUCCCGAGGUUCUCCAACGGAUUCGAGUACGAGCACGUUGGGUCUGACCCGAAAGAAGUGUGAACUAUGCCUGGAUAGGGUGAAGCCAGAGGAAACUCUGGUGGAGGCUCGCAGCGGUUCUGACGUGCAAAUCGAUCGUCAAAUCUUGGCA